rnacentral:rRNA from 1 species
AAAACAUAGCUUACAGGAAAAAUAGUAAGUGUAUUUUGCCCUAUGAAUUUUUUUUUAAUGGCCGCAGUACUUUGACUGUGCUAAGGUAGCAAAAUAAUUUGACUUUUAAAUGGAGCCCCGUAUGAAAGAAAUUAUGAAAAAAAAUUGUCUCCAUUAUUAAAUUUAAAAUUUACUAAAUUGGUGAAAAUAUCAAUAAAAUAAAUAUUAGACGAGAAGACCCUUAGAAUUUUUAAAAUUUAAUUUAAUCUAAAUUUUUUUGUUGGGGCGACAAUAUAAAAAUUACUUUUGAUAACUUAUGUUAAAUAGGACAAAAUUUAAAUAUUAAUAAAGAACAUAAUUACCUAAGGGAUAACAGCAUAAUAAUUUAUUUGGUUUGUGACCUCGAUGUUGGAUUAGGGUCAAAUAUGAUUAAAAAUUAUAUUUGCUUCUUCUGUUCGAAGAUAUCUUACCUACGUGAUCU